rnacentral:rRNA from 1 species
UACGGAGGGGACUAGCGUUGUUCGGAAUUACUGGGCGUAAAGCGCACGUAGGCGGAUUUGUAAGUCAGGGGUGAAAUCCCGGGGCUCAACCUCGGAACUGCCUUUGAUACUGCAAAUCUCGAGUCCGGAAGAGGUGAGUGGAAUUCCUAGUGUAGAGGUGAAAUUCGUAGAUAUUAGGAAGAACACCAGUGGCGAAGGCGGCUCACCGGUCCGGUACUGACGCUGAGGUGCGAAAGCGUGGGGAGCAAACAGG